rnacentral:rRNA from 1 species
AGCAGUAGCAAUUUCACCCUGCAACUCACAACUGGCAACCCACUGAAGCUCAGCAGGUGUGAGCCUGGUCAGUACCUGGAUGGGAGACCUCCUGGGAAAGCUAAGGUUGCUGCUGGUA